CCUGCCUCUAGAAUCAUUGCAGGUGUGGCUGCUGUGUCACAUGUGGGUCAGUAGGUGGCAGAGAGGAGAGAGGCUAUGUCUAUGCUAUGUCAGAGGCUAUGUCAGUGUUCUGACCUAUGAACAUUUGAAUGAUUAGUAGCCUAACAGU
rnacentral:snoRNA from 1 species